GCCAAACAGGUCCUAAACAACUGUUUUUGUUAGUUGUCACAGAAAUUUUAGUGACAACUAUGUGUGUGUGUGUUAGCAAGUUAGCAAAACCAUGUAUUUUUCUGUUUACAGUUAUUUCUGAAUCUCUAUAUGAUAUUGACUCUAACUCUCUCUUGCACAUGCACACAUACUGUAAUGCAAGUUUAUCCGCUUGUGCAAUUAUAAUCUGUUUGAGGUGGCUGCGUCAGCCAUACAUGUGCAUUUGCAUUGAUAAAACGUACAUUUUGAGCUUGUAACAUUUAAAAGCCAGAG
rnacentral:misc_RNA from 1 species